rnacentral:rRNA from 1 species
GGAAUAUUGCACAAUGGGGGAAACCCUGAUGCAGCGACGCCGCGUGAGCGGAGAAGUAUUUCGGUAUGUAAAGCUCUAUCAGCAGGGAAGAAAAAUGACGGUACCUGAGUAAGAAGCACCGGCGAAAUACGUGCCAGCAGCCGCGGUAAUACGUAUGGUGCAAGCGUUAUCCGGAUUUACUGGGUGUAAAGGGAGCGCCGGCGGUGCGGCAAGUCUGAUGUGAAAGCCCGGGGCUCAACCCCGGGACUGCAUUGGAAACUACCGAACUAGAGGGUCGGAGAGGUAAGGGGAAUUCCUAGUGUAGCGGUGAAAUGCGUAGAUAUUAGGAGGAACACCAGUGGCGAAGGCGGCUUACUGGACGAUAACUGACGCUGCGGCUCGAAAGCGUGGGGAGCAAAC